AGAAGGCUAGGUGAGCCAGGCGUUGGUAGCCCUGGUGAAAGCCGGUAGGCUGAGAUCUCAGGUAAAUCCGGGAUCUUAAGGCCGAGAGGCGAAACGAACUGACCACGGUCAGGAAGUCACUGAUGCCACGCUUCCAGGAAAAGCCUCUAAGCUUCAGAUCAUGUGCGACCGUACCCCAAACCGACACAGGUGGUCAGGGUGAGAAUCCCCAGGCGCUUGAGAGAACUCGGGUGAAGGAACUAGGCAAAAUGGUGCCGUAACUUCGGGAGAAGGCACGCCGCUGUUACGUGAAACCCCUCGCGGGUGGAGCGGAGAGCGGUCGAAGAUACCAGGUGGCUGCAACUGUUUAUUAAAAACACAGCACUCUGCUAACGCGCAAGCGGACGUAUAGGGUGUGACGCCUGCCCGGUGCCGGAAGGUUAAGUGAUGGUGUUAGCCGCAAGGCGAAGCUCUUGAUCGAAGCCCCGGUAAACGGCGGCCGUAACUAUAACGGUCCUAAGGUAGCGAAAUUCCUUGUCGGGUAAGUUCCGACCUGCACGAAUGGCGUAAUGAUGGCCACGCUGUCUCCACCCGAGACUCAGUGAAAUUGAAAUCGCCGUGAAGAUGCGGUGUACCCGCGGCUAGACGGAAAGACCCCGUGAACCUUUACUAUAGCUUCACACUGGACGCUGAUGUUGCCUGUGUAGGAUAGCUGGGAGGCUUUGAACCCGUGACGCCAGUUGCGGUGGAGCCACCCUUGAAAUACCAGCCUGGCAUCAUUGGCGUUCUCACUUAGGUCCGUGAUCCGGAUCGAGGACAGUGUGUGGUGGGUAGUUUGACUGGGGCGGUCUCCUCCCAAAGUGUAACGGAGGAGCACGAAGGUACCCUCAGCACGGUCGGACAUCGUGCAAUGAGUGCAAGAGCAUAAGGGUGCUUAACUGCGAGACAGACACGUCGAGCAGGUGCGAAAGCAGGUUCUAGUGAUCCGGUGGUUCUGUAUGGAAGGGCCAUCGCUCAACGGAUAAAAGGUACUCCGGGGAUAACAGGCUGAUACCGCCCAAGAGUUCACAUCGACGGCGGUGUUUGGCACCUCGAUGUCGGCUCAUCACAUCCUGGGGCUGAAGUCGGUCCCAAGGGUAUGGCUGUUCGCCAUUUAAAGUGGUACGCGAGCUGGGUUUAGAACGUCGUGAGACAGUUCGGUCCCUAUCUGCCGUGGGCGUAGGAUGUUUGAGAAGGGCUGCUCCUAGUACGAGAGGACCGGAGUGGACGCACCUCUGGUGUUCCGGUUGUCACGCCAGUGGCAUUGCCGGGUAGCUAAGUGCGGACGGGAUAACCGCUGAAAGCAUCUAAGCGGGAAGCCCCCUUCAAGAUGAGACAUCCCUGAGGACU
rnacentral:rRNA from 1 species